AGCCCCAGAUGGUUCAAAGUGGUG
rnacentral:siRNA from 1 species